rnacentral:rRNA from 1 species
UACGGAGGAUCCAAGCGUUAUCCGGAUUCAUUGGGUUUAAAGGGUGCGUAGGCGGAAUGAUAAGUCAGUGGUGAAAUCUCGGAGCUUAACUCCGAAACUGCCAUUGAUACUGUCAAUCUUGAGUACAUUUGAUGUGGGCGGAAUGUGUCAUGUAGCGGUGAAAUGCUUAGAUAUGACACAGAACACCGAUUGCGAAGGCAGCUCACAAAACUGUAACUGACGCUGAGGCACGAAAGCGUGGGUAUCAAACAGG